rnacentral:rRNA from 1 species
GACAGAGGAUGCAAGCGUUAUCCGGAAUGAUUGGGCGUAAAGCGUCUGUAGGUGGUUUAAAAAGUCUGCUGUUAAAAAUUGAAGCUUAACUUCAAAGAUGCCGUAGAAACUUUUAAACUAGAGUAUGAUAGGGGUAGAGGGAAUUUCCAGUGGAGCGGUGAAAUGCGCAGAUAUCGGGAGGAACACCGGUGGCGAAGGCGGGUCUCUGGGCAGUAACUGACGCUGAGGAGCGAAAGCGUGGGGAGCGAACAGG